UCACCUCAAGAUAAGAUAUCCCAUCGAAAGAGUAAGACCCCUUGCAGACUACAAGGUUGAUAGGUCGGAGGUGUAAGUGCAGCAAUGCAUUGAGCUGACCGAUACUAAUAGGUCGAGGGCUUGAUCUC
rnacentral:rRNA from 1 species